rnacentral:sRNA from 1 species
GCUGGGCACGGUGGCUCAUGCCUGUAAUCCCAGCACUUUGGGAGGCCGAGGUGGGUGGAUCACCUGAGGCCAGGAGCUCGAGACCAGCCUGGCCAACAUGGUGAAACCCCAUCUCUA